rnacentral:rRNA from 1 species
UAGCCGUAAACGAUACUCGCUAGGUGUCGGCCACGGUGCGACCGUUGUCGGUGCCGUAGGGAAGCCGUGAAGCGAGCCACCUGGGAAGUACGGCCGCAAGGCUGAAACUUAAAGGAAUUGGCGGGGGAGCACCACAAGAGGUGGAGGCUGCGGUUCAAUUGGACUCAACGCCGGAAAUCUUACCGGGACCGACAGCAACAUGAAGGCCAGGCUGAAGACUUUGCCGGAUUAGCUGAGAGGAGGUGCAUGGCGUAGUCGUGU